GGGGGAAUAUUGGACAAUGGGCGAAAGCCUGAUCCAGCCAUGCCGCGUGUGUGAAGAAGGUCUUCGGAUUGUAAAGCACUUUAAGUUGGGAGGAAGGGUUGUAGAUUAAUACUCUGCAAUUUUGACGUUACCGACAGAAUAAGCACCGGCUAACUCUGUGCCAGCAGCCGCGGUAAUACAGAGGGUGCAAGCGUUAAUCGGAAUUACUGGGCGUAAAGCGCGCGUAGGUGGUUAGUUAAGUUGGAUGUGAAAUCCCCGGGCUCAACCUGGGAACUGCAUUCAAAACUGACUGACUAGAGUAUGGUAGAGGGUGGUGGAAUUUCCUGUGUAGCGGUGAAAUGCGUAGAUAUAGGAAGGAACACCAGUGGCGAAGGCGACCACCUGGACUGAUACUGACACUGA
rnacentral:rRNA from 1 species